AUAAUUCAGGAACAAGACACUUAAAGACACUUAAACAAGACACUCAGGACAAACGCCGCUCCUUGGGAGGAAAUGAGACAGCUCAAGUUCCAAAUUUUGAGACUGAAUCUUGGGGCUGGAGAAAUAGCUCAGGGAUUAAGAAUUCUGGCUGCUUCCAGGGGACAAGAGUUCAAUUCCCAGCUCCCCCAACAGUCAGCUCGAAACCACCUCUCAUUUCAGGUCUGAGAGAUACAGCGUCCUCUUCUGGCCUCCUUGACCACACAUACGCAUAAAAUUACAUAGACACAAACACACAUAAUUAAUUAAUUAAUUAAUUAAUUAAUAUUUUAAAUUAGAUUUAAUUACUUUACCCAGCCCACCCCUGCCACAAACUACAGGUGACACACUGAAAAGCAAGUAGACAUUCUUUCAUAUUUUAUUUAGUUCAUUUGAGGUUUUCCUGAGAGAGAGUUGUACUAGAUAGCCCAUACAAGCCUGGGACACAAGUGCCUCCUGCUUCAGCCUUUGGAGUACUGGGGUUAAAGGAUUGUGCCACACCCUGCCUGAUUUAUUAUGCGCUUGGUUGAGAUGAAAAUAAAGAAGGGAAAAGCAAUCUAUAUACCUUUUC
rnacentral:lncRNA from 1 species